GACGAACGCUGGCGGCGUGCUUAACACAUGCAAGUCGAACGAUGAACCAGGGCUUGCCCUGGGGAUUAGUGGCGAACGGGUGAGUAACACGUGGGCAACCUGCCCCAGACACCGGGAUAACCUCUCGAAAGAGUGGCUAAUACCGGAUACGACCACUUUGGGCAUCCAACGGUGGUGGAAAGGAUUCUGGUCUGGGAUGGGCCCGCGGCCUAUCAGCUUGUUGGUGGGGUAAUGGCCUACCAAGGCGACGACGGGUAGCCGGCCUGAGAGGGCGACCGGCCACACUGGGACUGAGACACGGCCCAGACUCCUACGGGAGGCAGCAGUGGGGAAUAUUGCGCAAUGGGCGAAAGCCUGACGCAGCGACGCCGCGUGAGGGACGAAGGUCUUCGGAUUGUAAACCUCUUUCAGCAGGGACGAAGCGAAAGUGACUGUACCUGCAGAAGAAGCACCGGCUAACUACGUGCCAGCAGCCGCGGUAAU
rnacentral:rRNA from 1 species